rnacentral:rRNA from 1 species
ACUCCUACGGGAGGCAGCAGUGAGGAAUUUUCCGCAAUGGGCGAAAGCCUGACGGAGCAAUACCGCGUGAAGGAAGAAGGUCCGUGGAUCGUAAUCUUCUUUUCUUAAGGAAGAAUAUAUGACGGUACUUAAGGAAUAAGCACCGGCUAACUCUGUGCCAGCAGCCGCGGUAAUAC